rnacentral:misc_RNA from 1 species
CGUAAACUGGUAUAGUGUACACAGCACGACAUUGCUCGACAAGCAAACUAAGACAUCACAAAUAUUUUGAGUUAAACAAAAAUAGCUAGGGGCUCUGAAUUACUUUACUUUUUUAAAAAUGUUUCUAUGAUGUUGAAUUUGAACGCCAUUUUGUUUAUUUUAGUCUUACUUAAGGCUUCCUCAGGUAAAGUACCUACCAGCGUCUUCUGCACAUGCGCAUUAAGUGUUGGUUAAACAUGGCCCAAACUACAAAGCUAGUUGCGCGAUAUCCAACCUAUUUCCAUGGAAAAACUUUGUACGGAAUUGUGUCAAACUUUAAAAAUUUUGGUGUUGGAAGAACUGUUAUUCGUAAUAGUCUGCUCAGAUACCCAGAGCCUUCAUUUUACAAGAUUGUUAAGGUGGAGUUGGAUCUAAGUCGACACUUCGGAAAGACAAAACGUUUUUGCAAGGUUUACGCUCAUACUUGGUUCAGAGGAGAGUACUGAGAUGUAAAAUAAAAAUUUGAGAGCUGUCGCACCGUGGCUGGUUUGGCAACCGGUUUUCAUUUCCAACUUUUUGAGGCCU